AUGGUCAUCUUGAUGACAAGCUUGAGUUCAUCGAAAACGGAGUUUGCAUGCGUCUUCUAUGAUGUUUUCGAUGUUGGAGGUUUUACCGGUCUUAUCCGAGGAAGGGUUCUCACCAUUUUCUUUUGGGCCUUUUCUCAUUUGCUUCUUAUUGGUAUUUAUAUCAAGAUUGUGUUAGCCCUUGUCGCUAGCUUUCCAACAAACUUGGUUUCGUCGAAUUCGGAGUCCGUUUGCAGAAGUUGUGUUAGUUUUGGUGUUCUGAAAAGGCUGCAGCGGUACUACCGCGGACAGGAGCAGAUGUAA
rnacentral:rRNA from 1 species